rnacentral:rRNA from 1 species
CCCCUAGACGUUCUGGGCUGCACGCGCGCUACAAUAAUACGCACAGCGAGUAUCACCGAGCUCGAAAGGGCAAGGUAAACAAUAGAAAAGGUACUGUAUUGGUUAUAGAUCCUUGUAAUUAUUGAUCUUCAACGAGGAAUUCCUAGUAAGUAUGUGUCAUCAUCACGCACUGAUUACGUCCCUGCCCUUUGUACACACCGCCCGUCGCUCCUACCGAUUGGGUGAGCCGAUGAAACUCUCGGAUGUAGGCUAUUCAUAGCCCGCAGAAGAGAUUUGAAUCGUAGCGCUUAGAGGAAGGAGAAGUCGUAACA